rnacentral:rRNA from 1 species
CCUACGGGAGGCAGCAGUGGGGAAUCUUGCGCAAUGUUCGUAAGAGUGACGCAGCGACGCCGCGUGAAUGACGAAGGCCUUCGGGUCGUAAAGUUCUUUCGACAGGGGAGAAAAUGCCUAUAAGUAACUGUGUAUGUAUUGACGGUACCUGUAUAAGCAGCCCCGGCUAACUCCGUGCCAGCAGCCGCGGUAAUACGGAGGGGGCGAGCGUUGUUCGGAGUGACUGGGCGUAAAGAGCACGUAGGCGGUGUUGUAAGUCAUUAGUCAAAGACUAGAGCUCAACUUUAGUAAGGCUAGUGAUACUAUAAUACGAGAGUAUCAGAGUGGAUUGCAGAAUUCCUGGUGUAGCGGUGAAAUGCGUAGAUAUCAGGAGGAAUACCGUUAGCGAAGGCGGCAAUCUGGCUGGAAACUGACGCUGAGGUGCGAAAGCGUGGGUAGCAAACAGGAUUAGAUACCCUUGUAGUC